GACGAACGCUGGCGGCGUGCUUAACACAUGCAAGUCGAACGGAAAGGCCCUGCUUUUGUGGGGUGCUCGAGUGGCGAACGGGUGAGUAACACGUGAGUAACCUGCCCUUGACUUUGGGAUAACUUCAGGAAACUGGGGCUAAUACCGGAUAGGAGCUCCUGCUGCAUGGUGGGGUUUGGAAAGUUUCGGCGGUUGGGGCUGGACUCGCGGCUUAUCAGCUUGUUGGUGGGGUAGUGGCUUACCAAGGCUUUGACGGGUAGCCGGCCUGAGAGGGGGACCGGCCACAUUGGGACUGAGAGACGGCCCAGAGUCCUACGGGAGGCAGCAGGGGGGAAUAUGGCACAAUGGGCGGAAGCCUGAUGCAGCAACGCCGCGUGCGGGAUGACGGCCUUCGGGUGGUAAACCGCUGUCGCCUGUGACGAAGCGUGAGUGACGGUAAUGGGUAAAGAAGCACCGGCUAACUACGUG
rnacentral:rRNA from 1 species